rnacentral:sRNA from 1 species
GUUCUGCCCGGAUGGAAGCUGCGGCCGCGGAGUGAUGGUGGCCUCAGCGAAGAUGGGCCGGGCAGGGACCAUGGCGGUGGCAGCAGAGCUUCGAGAGCUGUGCCCAGGAGUGAACAACCAGCCCUAUCUCUGUGAGAGUGGUCACUGCUGCGGGGAGACUGGCUGCUGCACCUACUACUAUGAGCUCUGGUGGUUCUGGCUGCUCUGGACUGUCCUCAUCCUCUUUAGCUGCUGUUGCGCCUUCCGCCACCGACGAGCUAAACUCAGGCUGCAACAACAGCAGCGGCAGCGUGAAAUCAACUUGUUGGCCUAUCAUGGGGCAUGCCAUGGGGCUGGUCCUUUCCCUACCGGUUCACUGCUUGACCUUCGCCUCCUCAGCACCUUCAAGCCCCCAGCCUAUGAGGAUGUGGUUCACCGCCCAGGCACACCACCCCCGCCUUAUACUGUGGCCCCAGGCCGCCCCUUGACUGCUUCCAGUGAACAAUCCUGCUGUUCCUCCUCAUCCAGCUGCCCUGCCCACUUUGAAGGAACAAAUGUGGAAGGUGUUUCCUCCCACCAGAGUGCCCCCCAUCAUCAGGAUGGUGAGCCUGGGGCAGGGGUGACCCCUGCCCCCACACCCCCCUCCUGCCGCUAUCGCCGUUUAACUGGCGACUCCGGUAUUGAGCUCUGCCCUUGUCCUGCCUCCGGUGAGGGUGAGCCAGUCAAGGAGGUGAGGGUUAGUGCCACCCUGCCAGAUCUGGAGGACUACUCCCCGUGUGCACUGCC